CCAAAGGAAGAACAAAGGAAGAAAAGAAAGAACAAGAACCCUAGAGUGAAAAUUUAAGAGAAAAUUGGUGGAUUUCAAGUAAUCAAGCAAUCAAAGGUAAAAUUUCUUGAUUUUGACUUGUGAUCUACCUUUCCUAUGCAUUCUUUUUCAUUUACCAUGGUUGAGAAUCAAGUUUGCAUGAGGAUACCCUUGCUGGCCGGACAUGGGGGGAGGAGUUUUGAUGCUUGAUUUGGUUAGAUUUCAAUGUAUUUUAGUGUUUUAAGUUGAUUGGUGAUGUGUAGCAUGAAAAUCAAGCAAGAAAAAUUCAUGUUCUCCCAUCACCCAUCAUUGGCCAAAUUUUCCAUGUAAAGUGUGGAUGGUGGAUUUGAUUUUAUUUCAAGUGACUUCGUUAGGAAAUGAUGAAUUAUGGUGAGAAAAUCAAGUAAGAAAAAUCAUAAUAUUGAUGCACCCAUCAUGGCCGAAAUUCCCAAGAGAAAAUGUGAAGAUGAUUUUGCUAAAUUUUAUACUAUUUGACUUGUGUUUGAUGGUUUAGAGAAUUGGAAGAAAAAUGGAGUUCAAUUGGAGUUCAAUUGGACAUAUUGGCCAAUUAAUCGAGUGAUAGAUCGAAUUAGGCCAAUACCGGUUUAUUUAGGUACACAAUUGAAUUUAUGUAGAACACCAUGUUUAGAUGAUAAUUUGAAUAAUUUGCAUUCCUUUUCAUGCAUCCAUAUAGUUUUAUAACGGUUUAGCACCAAUGUGGUAAAUUGCUUGAUUGUGCAUUAUGUCUAGGUGGUGAAUCCUCCGAUAAAGGCAAAAAAAUUGUACCCGAGGAUCGAUAGUCGGAGUACUCUAAAAAUUCAACUCCCGAAAUAGUGAGUAACCUUAUCAUCAUUUUAAUUAUCUAAAGUGGUCUCUUUAUUCGAUUUUGUGAAUUUUAUGAAAAAUGAGUUAAAUGGUUAAAUUUUAGGUUUUAUAAACAAAAUGUGUUUAAAUGAAAUGAUUUUAUAAAUUGUCUUGAAAUUGACUGAUGGCUUUGAAAAUAGAGUAAUUGGAGACCAUUUGAUGUAUUAUUAAUUUAUGAUUCUAAUUGAUUGGCUUAUGGCAAUAUUGGCAUGAAUGGUUGAAUUGGUAAAUGUGCUGAAAAUGUUUGAAUUGUUGAUUUGCCUUGAGAGGUUGUCAAAUAAAAUAAUUGCCAUGUCAUGCUAUCGUAAAUUUUAUUAUAUGGUGGGUUUAGCUUGCUACAGUGGGCGGGUUCUGUGGACCAGCCUAUUAGAGGGGCACGAAAUCCGGUUAUAUACGUACCUCAGUCCGAGAG
rnacentral:lncRNA from 1 species